GGUGAACGCUGGCGGCGUGCUUAAGACAUGCAAGUCGAACGGCAGUCUUCGGACUGUAGUGGCGCACGGGUGAGUAACGCGUAACUGACCUACCCCAAAGUCGCGGAUAACGAUUCGAAAGAAUCGCUAAUACGUGAUGUGCUGUCAGAUUGUGUUCUGCCAGUACAGAUUGAUUGCUUUGGGAUGGGGUUGCGUUCCAUCAGCUAGUUGGUGGGGUAAAGGCCCACCAAGGCGACGACGGAUAGCCGGCCUUAGAGAGUGGCCGGUCACAGGGGCACUGAGACACGGGUCCCACUCCUACGGGAGGCAGCAGUUAGGAAUCUUCCACAAUGGGCGAAAGCCUGAUGGAGCGACGCCGCGUGAGGGAUGAGGGUCUUCGGAUCGUAAACCUCUGAAUCAGGGACGAAAGACACUUCGGUGGGAUGACGGUACCUGAGUAAUAGCACCGGCUAACUCCGUGCCAGCCGCCGCGGUAAAAC
rnacentral:rRNA from 1 species